AGGGAAUUUUCGGCAAUGGACGGAAGUCUGACCGAGCAACGCCGCGUGAGUGAAGAAGGUCUUCGGAUUGUAAAGCUCUGUUAUUAGGGAAGAAAGAGCCAUGGAGGAAAUGCCAUGGAAGUGACGGUACCUAAUGAGGAAGCCACGGCUAACUACGUGCCAGCAGCCGCGGUAAUACGUAGGUGGCAAGCGUUGUCCGGAAUUAUUGGGCGUAAAGGGUACGUAGGCGGCCCAUUAAGUCUGAUUUGAAAGCCCAUGGCUUAACCAUGGAGGGAGAUUGGAAACUGAAGGACUUGAGAACAGGAGAGGAAGGUGGAAUUCCACGUGUAGCGGUGAAAUGCGUAGAGAUGUGGAGGAACACCAGUGGCGAAGGCGGCCUUCUGGCCUGUGACUGACGCUGAGGCACGAAAGCGUGGGUAGCAAAC
rnacentral:rRNA from 1 species